rnacentral:rRNA from 1 species
GAUGAACGCUGGCGGCGUGCCUAAUACAUGCAAGUCGAACGAAACUUCUUUAUCACCGAGUGCUUGCACUCACCGAUAAAGAGUUGAGUGGCGAACGGGUGAGUAACACGUGGGCAACCUGCCCAAAAGAGGGGGAUAACACUUGGAAACAGGUGCUAAUACCGCAUAACCAUAGUUACCGCAUGGUAACUAUGUAAAAGGUGGCUAUACUACCGCUUUUGGAUGGGCCCGCGGCGCAUUAGCUAGUUGGUAGGGUAAAGGCUUACUAAGGCAAUGAUGCGUAGCCGAAUUGAGAGGUUGAUCGGCCACAUUGGGACUGAGACACGGCCCAAACUCCUACGGGAGGCAGCAGUAGGGAAUCUUCCACAAUGGGCGAAAGCCUGAUGGAGCAACGCCGCGUGGGUGAAGAAGGUCUUCGGAUCGUAAAACCCUGUUGUUAGAGAAGAAAGUGCGUGAGAGUAACUGUUCACGUUUCGACGGUAUCUAACCAGAAAGCCACGGCUAACUACGUG